rnacentral:rRNA from 1 species
GCGAACGCUGCGGCAGGCUUAAUACAUGCAAGUUCGAGCCGGGGCGUAGACAAUACGUUCCAGCGGCAGGACGGGUGAGUAACGCGUGGAACGUGGCCCUUUGGUUCGGAACAAACACAAGGGAAACUUUGCUAAUACCGGAUAAGCCCUUACCGGGGAAGAUUUAAUCGGCCCGAAGGAUCGGCCCGCGUCUGAUUAGCUAGUUGGUGAGGUAAUGGCUCACCAAGGCGACGCUCAGUAGCUGGUCUGAGAGAUGAUUCAGCCACACUGGGACUGAGACACGGCCCACGACCUUACGGGAGGCAAGCAGUAGGAAUAAUUGACAAUGGGGGCAAACCCUGAUCCAGCCAUGCCGCGUGAGUGAUGAAGGCCUUAGGGUUGUAAAGGCUCUUUUGUUGAGGGACGAUAAUGACUGGUACCGCAAGAAUAAGCCCGGCUAACUUCGUGCCAGCAGCCGCGGUAAUACGAAGGGGGCUAGGCGUUGCUCGGAAAUCACUGGGCGUAAAGCGCCGUAGGCGGGACUCUUAAGUCGGGGUGAAAUCCCUGGAGCUCAACUCCAGAACUGCCUUCGAUACUGGGAGUCUUGAGUUCGGGAGAGGUGAGUGGAACUGCGAGUGUAGAGGUGAAUUCGUAGUAUUCGCAAGAACACAGUGGCGAAGGCGGCUCACUGGAACGAUAUGACGCUGAGGUGCGAAAGCGUGGGAGCAAACAGGAUUAGAUACCCCUGGUAGUCACUGGCCCGUAAACGAUGAAUGCUUAGCCGUUGGCGGGUUUACUCGAUCCCUGCCGUGCCGCAGCUAACGCCAUUUAAGCAUUUCCGCCUGGGGAGUACGGUCGCAGAGCUUAAAACUCAAAGGAAUUGAACGGGGGGCCCGCACAAGCGGUGGAGCAUGUGGUUUAAUUCGACGCAACGCGAAGAACCUUACCAGCGACGGCAUUGACAUCCUACGAGUAUGGGCUCUCCCGAGAAGGAUCCUAGUCGCUGGCGGGACACAGGUGCUGCCAUGGCCUGUCGUCAGGCUCGUGUCGUGAGACUGUUGGGUUAAGUCCCGCAACGAGCGCAAACCCUUGCUCUUUGUUGCCAUCGACUUCGGGCCGGGCACUCUAGGAGGACUGCCGGUGACAAACCGGAGGAAGGUGGGAUGACGUCAAAUCAUCAUGCCCUUUAUGACCUGGGCCACACACGUACUACAAUGGUCGGUACAAACGGGACGCGAAGACCGCGAGGUGGAGCUAAUCCUUAUAAGCCUGAUCUCAGUUCGGAUUGCUAGGCUGCAACUCGCCUGCAUGAAGUUGGAAUUGCUAGUAAUCGCGGAUCAGCAUGUCGCGGUGAAUACGUUCCCGGGUCUUGUACACACCGCCCGUCACACUCACCGAGUAGUUUACAAACACCCGAAGUCGGUGGGUAACCCGCAGGAGCCCAGCCGCCGAAGGUGGGGUAUGAUUGGGGUG